GUCCACUGACAAGCUCCCUCUUGGGCUCUCAUGUCUGGGCCACUGAACCACAGUGUUGGAGCCGAGGGCUUGCAGCUGGAGGAGAGGAA